rnacentral:rRNA from 1 species
UACAUCGGUGACAGGUGGUGCAUGGUUGUCGUCAGCUCGUGUCGUGAGAUGUUGGGUUAAGUCCCGCAACGAGCGCAACCCCUACGUUUAGUUGCUAACAGGUGAAGCUGAGCACUCUAGACGAACUGCCGUUGACAAAACGGAGGAAGGUGGGGAUGACGUCAAAUCAUCAUGCCCCUUAUGUUCUGGGCUACACACGUGCUACAAUGGCCGGUACAGACGGAGGCGAAGCCGCGAGGCGGAGCAAAUCCGAAAAAGCCGGUCUCAGUUCGGAUUGCAGGCUGCAAUUCGCCUGCAUGAAGUCGGAAUCGCUAGUAAUCGCAGGUCAGCAUACUGCGGUCGAAUACGUUCCCGGGCCUU